GUGUUUGCUCUGGCAGCACGUUUACUAAAAUUGGAAUGAUACAGAAAAAAUUAGUAUGGCCCCUGUGCAAGGAAGACAUGCAAAUCCAUGAAGGAUUCCAUAGUUCU
ensembl:snRNA U6 U6 spliceosomal RNA